UAGCCUAGUGGUUAGAGAGUUGGACUAGUAACCGAAAGGUUGCAAGUUCAAAUCCC
rnacentral:tRNA from 1 species